UUUUAAGAUAAAAUUGGCUGCAGCACUGGCAAGAUGUCGAAUCAAGCACGAUGCCGUUUCAAUUUACCACAUCCUUCCAGAAACAGUUAGGAAACAGGAACUAAGGGCCUCCACUUUACCACUUUAUGCUUGGAUAAAUACUUGUAAAAUCAGCCCUGAAGAAGUUUAUAAUAAUUUGAAGAGAAGAGGCUAUAAUAAAGUCAAAUCUGUAUUGCAUAUUGAUGAUAAAGUCUUUGCUGUGGAUCAACAUUGCUAUGAUGUCUUAAUUUUUCCAUCUCAUCUUAAAAAUGAUCUCAUAAAUAUAGAUCUUUUCAAAGAUUACAAACUUAUAUUUCAGGACAAAUCUCGAAGUCUUGCUGUCCAUUCUGUAAAGGCUUUAUUAAAUAUGGAGGAUGAUAUCUUAAUGGUCAAUACAGGUUCAUGGUACACAGUUGCCCAUAUGUCAGUUUUAACAAAUAAUAAUACCUCAAAAGUAUUUGUGUGUGGAGUACAAUCACAAGCUAAGGAUCCUGACUUGAAGACCCUUUUCACAAAAAUAGGAUGUAAAAGUAUGUAAAAAUAUUUCUUCAUUUGGUGAUUAUUGUUCUACAAGAUUUUAGAAACAUUAAAAAGUUUUCAUUUAUUAGUUUUUUGUAAUGUAAAAGCUCUAUAUGUGAACUAAUAUCUUAAAAUCCUUACUAAUCUAUAUCUUAUCAGGCUGUCCUUGUUGCUUAAUUUGGUUAAACAACUGUGGGUUAAAUUAAUUUCUUGGUACUUUGUAAUAC
rnacentral:sRNA from 1 species